CGCGACCCUGCGGGGUUGUAGAGGAGCCCCGACGCCGAGGUCAGGACGGCUUUCCUUCCUUGGCUUCCCAGCCUUCACCCUCUGAGUUCUUGACCCAACGCCGCCGUUCCGUUUCUCCUGCUUCCUGGGCCCCAGGCAGAGCACGAAGGGAGCAGCAUCCGGGCUCUUCCCUGGCCUGCAGGCUUCGCGCCUCUGGAUGGACCUGCGCCGGUCCGGGGCGGGAAAGGAGCAGCAUCCGGGCUCUUCCCUGGUUCGCGCUCAGAGCCCACCUUGGGCCUGAGCGUUUCCCGGCCCGCGUCGGUGGGUGGUUUCGGAGGGAAGGGAAAGUGAGUCCGGACAGGUCCCCGAGGCUGCGAAGAGCUCCGCUUUGUCUCGGGGGACAAUGAGGCCUCGCGUUUCUUUCUGCCAGCGUCGUCCAGCUUCGAGGGCUCCUGAGGCGCGGUCUGAGCUGCCCCGGGCCGCCACCUGACUCUCCCGAAGAGGGCUUCGGGACCCAACACUUCCUCAGAGAAGGAAACCCAGACAUGGAGUCUCACUAUGUUGCCCAGGUUGGCCUUGAUCUCCUGGACUCAAGUAAUCAUUCCACUUCAGCCUCCUGAGUAGCUGGGACUGCAGACACAUGCCACCACACCUGGCUUUGACAAAAUGGAUGUAAAGCAACAUAGUUUGUAAACCAUUUCCCUGGCUAAAAUGCUAAUUACUACAAACAAACUAAUCAUCAUUUGGAUGAAGAGUAUUCAGACUGAAAAACAGGAAUACUAAG